rnacentral:rRNA from 1 species
UACGAAGGGGGGCUAGCGUUGCUCGGAAUCACUGGGCGUAAAGGGUGCGUAGGCGGACAGUUAAGUCAGAGGUGAAAGCCCAGGGCUCAACCCCUGGAAUUGCCUUUGAUACUGGCUGUCUUGAGUAUGGGAGAGGUGAGUGGAACUCCGAGUGUAGAGGUGAAAUUCGUAGAUAUUCGGAAGAACACCAGUGGCGAAGGCGACUCAGCUAGGCCCAUUACCUUGG